rnacentral:rRNA from 1 species
UACGUAGGGACCGAGCGUUAUCCGGAUUCAUUGGGCGUAAAGAGCUCGUAGGCGGUUCGGUAAGUCGGGUGUGAAAACUCUGGGCUCAACCCAGAGAGGCCACCCGAUACUGCUGUGACGUAGAGUGCGGUAGGGGAGCGGGGAAUUCCUGGUGUAGCGGUGAAAUGCGCAGAUAUCGAGGAGGAACACCAGCGGCGAAGGCGGCGCUCUGGGCCGGUGACUGACGCUGAGGGAGCGAAAGCGUGGGGAGCAAACAGG